CUACGGGAGGCAGCAGUGGGGAAUAUUGCACAAUGGGCGCAAGCCUGAUGCAGCCAUGCCGCGUGUAUGAAGAAGGCCUUCGGGUUGUAAAGUACUUUCAGCGGGGAGGAAGGGAGUAAAGUUAAUACCUUUGCUCAUUGACGUUACCCGCAGAAGAAGCACCGGCUAACUCCGUGCCAGCAGCCGCGGUAAUACGGAGGGUGCAAGCGUUAGUCGGAAUUACUGGGCGUAAAGCGCACGCAGGCGGUUUGUUAAGUCAGAUGUGAAAUCCCCGGGCUCAACCUGGGAACUGCAUCUGAUACUGGCAAGCUUGAGUCUCGUAGAGGGGGGUAGAAUUCCAGGUGUAGCGGUGAAAUGCGUAGAGAUCUGGAGGAGUACCGGUGGCGAAGGCGGCCCCCUGGACGAAGACUGACGCUCAGGUGCGAAAGCGUGGGGAGCAAACAGGAUUAGAUACCCCAGUAGUC
rnacentral:rRNA from 1 species